UACGGGGGGGGCAAGCGUUGUUCGGAAUUACUGGGCGUAAAGGGCGCGUAGGCGGCCUGCUAAGUCGGACGUGAAAUCCCUCGGCUCAACCGGGGAACUGCGUCCGAUACUGGUGGGCUCGAAUCCGGGAGAGGGAUGUGGAAUUCCAGGUGUAGCGGUGAAAUGCGCAGAUAUCAGGAGGAACACCAAUGGCGAAGGCAGCUCGCUGGGACGGUACUGACGCUGAGACGCGAAAGCGUGGGGAGCGAACAGG
rnacentral:rRNA from 1 species